CACAAACUAUUGUUGUCCGUUGGAUUUGAGUCUUGCACCAUAAGCAAAAAAAGAGUACCGAUGCAUCACUCUUAAGAUAGUAGCCAUAGAACUUGUGGAGCUCUUGGUCUACACAUGCCUUCCUGCCAUGUACCUGUACAAUUUAUAAUGAAACUACUAAGGAACCGUAUUGUGUUAAACAUUCCUGUAUCACUUAGUCGUUAAAUUAAUAAGUAUAGAUAGAAGGAAAUUACCACUGGACUACGACUGAACAUCUUCACUUUUCUAGAUUCUGAAAAACCUCUUUGAAAACAACAUUCAUCGUUUUUGUUUGGGGGUUUCCUUCCUUGACAAGUAUUAAAACUUUCAGACCA